CUCGCUGCUCUUCUCCUCCUCCCGCCGCUGCUCGAGAUCGUAUGAUCUCAUCCUCUCCUCUGGUCGUGGUCUUAUUUCAGAGCUUCUUGUUCUCGAACCUUUUCGGCUUUUCUUGGUUCCUGAGACUUGGUGCGAUCUCGACCGGGCUUUCAGUUUCGUCGGGGAACGGAACCGCUAUAGCCCCCGAGAUCGCGAGCAUAGGUGAAGCUUGGCGAACUGCCAUAUCCUCCAAGAUCUCGUCGAGCUGUGGCCGGCACAAGUCCAAUGGAUUGCAGCAGCGCGCUCUCCACCAAACCCGUCCCUCCCGCUCCUCCAAACCCCUCCUCCGCGAACCUCCCGGAAUCCCCGACUCCGCAGCGCAAGAUUUGGAUCAAGCCGACGGCUCCGGCUUCCAAGAAGCAGCAGCAGCAGCAGCGGAGGAAGAAAGGGUCUGGGUGGGACGAGAAGAGGGUGGUGGGUUUCGUGGAUUACGACGAGGGCGAGCGCCGCGUCUCUACCGAGAUCAGCGGGGCCCGCAAGGAUGAGAUCCCUGCGAGGUACCGCCUCCGCGUCGACGGCAGCCGCUGGCAGAAGGACUGGAAGCUCUCCGAGGUCGUCGACCAGGUGAUGAGGCUGCGCCACUGGGAGGACAUCGAUGGCGUCCUCAACCGCUGGGCCGGUCGCUUCGCUCGGAAAAACUUCCCUCUCCUCAUUCGGGAAAUAACAAGUACUGGUUCCCUUGAUCAUGCUGUACAUGUGUUCCGGUGGAUGAAAAAUCAGAGACACUACUCUCCUCGGAGUGACAUCUACAAUAUGCUCAUUAGUCUGCAUGCCAAACAUAAUCAAACUGAUCAAGCACGCGGUUUAUUUUUUGAGAUGCAACAGUGGAGGUGCAAACCUGAUACUGAAACCUAUAAUUCUCUCAUUAAUGCACAUGGUCGAGUUGGUCAGUGGCGUUGGGCUGUGAAUAUUAUGGAAGAUAUGCUUCAAGCUGCUAUACCUCCUAGCCGAACUACAUACAAUAAUUUGAUUAGUGCUUGUGGAUCUGGUGGCCACUGGAAAGAGGCUCUUGAAAUUUGCAAGAAAAUGACAGAAAAUGGUGUGGGGCCUGAUUUGGUGACUCAUAACAUUAUUUUAUCAGCUUUCAAAAGAGGAGCUCAAUAUUCAAAAUCUCUGGCUUACUUUGAUCUGAUGAAAGAAACAAAUAUUUGCCCUGACACUAUCACUUUUAAUAUAGUUAUACAUUGCCUUGUUAAGCUUGGACAAUUUGGAAAAGCAGUGGAUGUUUUUAACUCAAUGCGAGAGAGAGGUGCAAAGUGUCAGCCUGAUAUAGUUACUUUUACCUGCAUCAUUCAUGCAUAUUCAACUUGUGGACAAAUUGAGAAUUGCAAGGUGGCAUUUGAUAUGAUUCUUGCUGAAGGACUGAAACCUAAUAUUGUUGCUUAUAAUGCACUAAUUGGUGCCUAUGCUUCUAAUGGAAUGCAUACAGAGGCAUUGGCCACUUUUAAUUUACUUAAACAUGCAGGAUUGAGACCUGAUGUUGUAUCAUACACUUCCUUACUUAAUGCUUAUGGACGAUCAGGACAGCCCGAAAAGGCUAAAGGAUUCUUUGACAUGAUUAAACAGAAUUCGUUGAGGCCAAAUAUUGUUAGUUACAACGCAUUAAUUGAUGCAUAUGGAUCUUCAGGUUUGUUGGCUGAAGCCAUAGGAGUGUUGCAUGCCAUGGAAGAAGAUGGUGUUCAAGCAGAUAUUGUCUCAAUAAGCACACUUUUGGCAGCUUGUGGCCGAUGUAGUCAAAUUGUAAACAUUGACUCUAUACUAUCAGCGGCUAGAUCACGACGGAUUAAGUUAAACACAGUUGCAUAUAACUCGGCAAUUGGGAGCUAUAUGAGUGUGGAGGAAUAUGAUAAAGCUGUAUCUUUAUACAGGUCAAUGAGAGAAGAUAAUAUAAAACCUGAUUCCAUUACUUUCAAUAUACUAAUUAGUGGUUCUUGUAAGGUGAAAAAAUAUGCAGAGUCCUUACAGUUUUUGGAUGAGAUGAUGGACCUAAAUAUUCCAUUUUCCAAGGAGGUUUACUCAUCUCUGAUCCACUCAUACAGCAAACAGGGCCAGCUAACAGAGGCUGAAUCUAUUUUCAAUAUGAUGAAGGGGACUGAUUGCUCACCUGAUGUUAUAACAUACACUUCCAUGAUUCAUGCAUAUUCUAUAGCAGGGAACUGGAUGAAAGCCUGGGAGCUGUUUGAAGACAUGGAAAGAAAUAACAUUCAGCCAGAUCCUGUUCUAUGUUCAUCAUUAAUAGAAGCCCUGAACAUUGGAUGCCAACCUGAGAAGGUUCUUUGGUUGGCAGAAUUGAUGAGAGAGAAGUAUAUCCCAUUAAACUCAAGUGCUUCUUUUGGGGUCAUAUAUGCUUGCAGCAUGGUAAGAGACUGGAGGGCAGCAAGCAAAACGAUUGAAUGUAUGGAGACAUCAUUCUCAUCAAUUUCACUUGGUCUCUUAAAUCAGAUUCUGCAUUUCCUUGGAAAGAGUGGAAAGAUUGAGACCAUGAUGAAGGUUUAUUACAAGAUAUUAUCCUCACAUUCAAACGUCAGCUUGGUAACACACACAAUUUUGUUGAAGAAUCUUUUAGCAUCUGGAAGAUGGAGGAUGUGUAUUGAGGUUUUGCAGUGGAUGGAAGAUGCAGGAAUUCAACCAACACUAAACAUGUAUCGCAGUGUUCUUUCAUAUGCUAGGAAGGACAACAGCGUGGAACAUGCUAAUCUCAUCCAAGAAAGAAUAAGUACCUUAAGAGGCAAGAUCGACUAAGGCUUAACUAAGCUGUGAAAAUCGAUGCCCUUUAAUGGAAGGAGCAAGUGGAACCCAGUAGUCAUAAGAAUGCCUACUAAUUUCCAGAAGUCAUACAUUCAUGUGAAAGGAAUGAAUGAUCUAAUGUCGGCACUUUAAUAAUACUCUAGCUGAUCACUCGACUUUGGCUCUGGGAGCCCUAGGGUUUCUUUGUCUGCAACUGUUCGUCUUGGUAGGAAAAGGAAGAAGAGUAAAAGAGAAGAGGAAGAGGAGAUUCCUCUCUUGUUCCUCGUCUGAGAAAGAUUAUAUGGUAAGUGCCUCAUUCGUCUUUCUAUUUUCUUUUUUUGGUUCUUUACUAUUGAUACCGAUUGGUGCAAGAUGAUAUAUUGGCAUAUCACAAUAUUGUACUGGUUUGGCCAUAGGAGACAUUGAAUAGUUUGGUUCAAAAUAUUUAGAAACCAAAAUGUAUAUGAUUUGGAUGGCCUUUAAUGUGGUCAUCAAACUAAGAUGAUGAACAAUAUUAAUUUAAUGCAUGAAAAUUGUUCAUGCAUUAAAGUAUGAUUUGGCUACCUUGCAAAUGAUCAAACAUUGACCAUGAUCUAAAUAUUGUUUUAUAUGUACAAUAACUCAUCUGUUUUUUUUUAAAUACAAAUGUAUUCUGUGCAGUUAAAAAAAAAAGACGUUUUUCUCCACUUAGCGCUUAUGUUGGAAUGUCUUCAGAAAAGAAAUCUUUUAUAAUGUAUUGCCUUUUCAGCUUUGAUUAUGUUUUUGAGGUGACAGGAUUCAGGUCUUCAUCCUGCUGACGAUAUUCAGGUCUCUCUCUCUCUCUCUCUCUCUCUCACACACACACAGGUUGAUGGAUAUGCAUACAGACACAGCAUUUCAGAUUUAAUCAUGUAUGUUCUCGUGAGAUCUUUGGACCACAAGAACUGCAGGUGACUGAAAUAGUGUGUUCACUGUUACUAUGUACUGAUAUACACCAUGUGAGACCAUUUUUCAAUUGCUACUCUAGACAUGAUAACUUUAUCAAAUUUUUUGUUCCAGUAGAACAUACACUAAUCUUCUUUUCGUCUCCUCAAGUGGUGAUCAUCUUAUUUUCAUUGUAACAGGGACGAGAUCACCAUCUGUCAUGUUGAUAAUCUUACUUUGGCAUUGUCAAAGUAAACAAAUAUCACCAGGCUCUUGGUGGAAAUAUAUCCAUAAGAUGUUGAUUUCAGCUACCCUGGAACAAGGUAGCUAAUCAUCAAUUUGGUGCAAUCCCCACCAGAUGAACCAGUGAUCAAGUCAUGAAGGAUAUCUUUAUAAAAGUCGGUGGAGUUGCUGAAUAUACUGUGGCAAAAGAUGAGAAAUUGGAAAGGUAGCAACCCUGACACUGUAUAAUGGCAUUUCAAAUAUGAUACCAGACACAAAGAUGAGCAUAAUCAUAAGCUAACUCUUAUAUUGUUUUAUUUUAGCGACAAACAAACAAGCCUUUUUUG